rnacentral:rRNA from 1 species
AAUGAACGUUGGCGGCGUGGAUUAGGCAUGCAAGUCGAGCGCUAACCGUAGCAAUACGGCGAGAGCGGCGAAAGGGAGAGUAACACGUGGAUACCUGCCCUCGGGUCCAGGAUAGCUGCGGGAAACUGCAGGUAAUACUGGAUGACAUCUCCGGAUCAAAGGUGUGAUUCCGCCCGGGGAGGGGUCCGCGUCCUAUUAGCUAGUUGGCGAGGUAACGGCUCACCAAGGCGAAGAUGGGUAUGGGGGUGUGAGAGCAUGCCCCCACUCACUGGGACUGAGACACUGCCCAGACACCUACGGGUGGCAG